rnacentral:rRNA from 1 species
AUUGAACGCUGGCGGCAGGCUUAACACAUGCAAGUCGAGCGGAGCGAGGGUGCUUGCACCUUAGCUUAGCGGCGGACGGGUGAGUAAUGCUUAGGAAUCUGCCUAUUAGUGGGGGACAACAUUCCGAAAGGAAUGCUAAUACCGCAUACGCCCUACGGGGGAAAGCAGGGGAUCUUCGGACCUUGCGCUAAUAGAUGAGCCUAAGUCGGAUUAGCUAGUUGGUGGGGUAAAGGCCUACCAAGGCGACGAUCUGUAGCGGGUAUGAGAGGAUGAUCCGCCACACUGGGACUGAGACACGGCCCAGACUCCUACGGGAGGCAGCAGUGGGGAAUAUUGGACAAUGGGCGGAAGCCUGAUCCAGCCAUGCCGCGUGUGUGAAGAAGGCCCUUUGGUUGUAAAGCACUUUAAGCGAGGAGGAGGCUACUUAGAUUAAUACUCUGGGAUAGUGGACGUUACUCGCAGAAUAAGCACCGGCUAACUCUGUGCCAGCCGCCGCAGUAACAC